rnacentral:misc_RNA from 1 species
UAUUACUUUGUGUCUCUUAGUCAACCUGAUCUGGUCCAUGUUCGUGGGGAGGGCUUCAUGGGCAAUCUCCACCCCAUGUCCACCCCAUGUCCACUCCCCCCGCACUCGCCCAUGCUGUCGCACAGACCAAAGCAGGCACUCCCGCACCCACUCCCUCAUAUCGAGGGGCACCAUCCAGCACCCCUCCCCCACUAAUGAUCCUUCCGCAGGUUCACCUACGGAAA